AUUGAACGCUGGCGGCAGGCCUAACACAUGCAAGUCGAACGAGUGGCGGACGGGUGAGUAAUGGCUGGGAAACUGCCUGCUGGAGGGGGAUAACUCCUGGAAACGGUAGCUAAUACCGCAUAACAUCAGAUGUGCCCAGAUGGGAUUAGCUUGUUGGUGGGGUAAAGGCGCACCAAGGAGACGAUCCCUAGCUGGUCUGAGAGGCUGACCAGCCACACUGGAACUGAGACACGGUCCGGACUCCUACGGGAGGCAGCAGUGGGGAAUAUUGCACAAUGGGCGCAAGCCUGAUGCAGCCAUGCCGCGUGUAUGAAGAAGGCCUUCGGGUUGUAAAGUACGUUCAGCUGGGAGGCGUUACCCGCAGAAGAAGCACCGGCUAACUCCGUGCCAGCAGCCGCGGUAAUUC
rnacentral:rRNA from 1 species